ensembl:lncRNA
GUAAACCUGCAGAUGAAAAACAAUUGUGAGGAGGAAUCCAGUUAAAUCGGGGGGCUGUUGACCAGGUGGCGCUGUAGACGGGGCGAGAUGAGUUCUGACUGUGGCGCUGCGAUCUUUGAUUCCUCUCCCCGUCACUGGGACAGUGGCUCCAGUCGUUCUCCCCCCCGGUGCUUCACAUGUAGGAUGCCUUUUAUUAAGCCGUGGUUUUCCAGUGAGGAUCCAAACAGCACGCCGGAUGACGUUGUCUUACACCUUAGACUCCUUCGGAUAAGUGUCCCCUUGCCAGGCUAGCUAAGCAUCAGGUUCAUGGGCACCACAGUCAUCACCCUGGAGGAAGUGCAGGCGCUGGAGGACAAGGAGGAGCAAGAGGAAUCCACCCUGGCCUUGUUAGGCAUCAUUGGCACGUUCCUUAACCUCUUUGUAAUUGUUUUUGUUUACGUUUACACCACGCUGUGAAGUGCAAACCUUAUUAGGCUCUAAAAACCUGUCGCCAGAAAAGACUUCUCUAAGAAAUUAGGGAUGUUGGGCGGUGAUCUGUCGCACAAGCCGUGUGACUUUUGACCUUUCCUGUCAUGUGUGUGCCAAUAAAACAUUGAGGGGAGUCGGGAAGCAAAGGUCAACGACAAAGUGACAUAUUGGGGGAGGUUGAUAUGAACAUCUUCCUCAGAGGGAGGAGGAAGCAGGACAGGCUAGAUAUGGCUGAAGAUGAAGAAGCCAUAUUCACCAAGUCACACCCAUGAGCCGGGCAGAGAACUAAGGGCUGGCAGCCAUGGCAGCAACUAGGCUGAGCAGAGCCAGCAAGCCCCCUGUGGCCUGAUGGGAAACACAAACUUGCACUUGAUCGGCUUUUUCUUGACUCCUGCACUGGCAGGAAAGAUGAGCCAAACAAGACAUUGAGGGUUCUCCAUUCAUCCUUUGUUAACGUUUCAGUUGGUGGGACUACGAAAGCGACCUGCACUGAAGGGAUUUUAGGAAACAAGAUUUUCAGCAGGGGGGAAACCACUAACUGUGCUGUGGGGAUUCAUUGUUCUACUGCAGCUUCAGGGCCUCUGCCCACAGACGGAGCUCUGAAUGAGCUCUCCUGUAAUGCAAGUUCCUAAAUGAACGGCUGGAUCAAAUAUAAUACAAUAUGUGACACAAAUCUAACAUGAUCAAGGUUACUGGGUUGAGCCAGAAAUGAAAAAUAAUGAAAAAUGUAGCUCUUUUUACAGAUUAAAGUGAGCCUAUUUUCCACAUUUUGAAGUUGGCAAGUGGGGAGGAGCCUUCUUUUCAUUUGUCUGUUCAUUUUCAGUUCAGCGUAGUGUCAGUAAACCUUUUCCUGUAUCACAAGAGGUUUGUAUAACUAUUUGAAUAGAGUCUAGAUGUAUUGUGCAAUAGCAGAAGUUUGAUCUUUGAGAGCACCAUGAUUCCAGUGAUUACAAGGAUGAUCCCAUUCCACCCCAUCCACUUGACAGGGUCUACCUGCCCUUUCAACUGAGAGGAGGAAAGCCUGUGCUAAUACAAUCAACAAUGAAUUACUCCACAGGAAGGUGCGGUAAUGAAUGAAGGUGUGCAUUUGUUAAUUAUAUAGAACUUAUUUUCUGUACACAAGGUCAAGCGUUUAUUUUUCUUACGAGGAGGGUAAAACCUGUGAAAUAAGACAUGAUAAAUGGAACAAAGAAUCUAAACCCUGUAGUGAUCAUUCAGACACAGCCUUAUUCAUCGCAAGGGAUGCUCGAUUAAAACAGGGGGAGGGAACAAGGCUAGAUGUAACAAUAUAAAACGACAUCGGAUCUUGAAACCAACAAAACGUGCAUUGAAUCCAUUCUUCAAUUAAGAUGAAUUACUGUUGGGGUCACAUUCAAAGGUUUUACCUCUCCCUAAUGGCUUAGAUCCUUGCGGUGGAGUAAAGCCAUGGCGAUCAGGUGUAUUUAGCGCUGCCUGUUCCUCCACAGAUUUAAAAAAGGUACACAACCAACACUAAAGAACCAACAAUGGGCGGAUCUUCAACAAGACUCGUGCUUUGAUGGACACUGUUGAUUAUGGACAAUGGUUCAAAUAUAUUGGUACAGCAAUUCCCUUUUACAAGAGGUACCAUUCAGCAGUAGGUAAUUUUAUUUUAUUGACAGAAAUAGAAUUUUUUGGCCACAAAGAUGCAAAAUAACUUCACAAGAAGCUUAAGCUUAAAUGUUUACAAAGAUCUCUUCACCUCUUCAAACAGCUCCAUGAUUGAACAAGCAUUUCUGCUCCUUAGGGGACAUAUCUAGCUCUUAGCUGCUAAAUGCUCCGUAAUGUUCACCAGCUGGUCACUAACUUGAUCAGUGUGCGGUUUGGUGCUGGACAAACAGGGUUCAGGGUACAGAGAACAGCUGCCUGUGGCUGCUGCAAACAAGCGGUGAACUUAAAAUCCAAAAGGUCAACAACAUGAUCUCACUCCUCUUUAUGUCUGUAUGCCGCAGACAAUCAACAAUCUUAAGCAGGGACAUGCGUCCCUAUUGUGUUCGUGUAGCUAUGCCAGAGACAGAGCAUAGGCCUCAUGUACUCCUCUAACCUGAGAGAAGCAGCCAAGCUGUCAGGUCUGAGUGUUUUACUGCAGGCUCCUGACAUUGAUUGACAGCUCAGAGCUCCUAUGCAACCGGCUCCUUAACCGAAGGUGGUCCGGGAGCCCCCAGCUUUCAUUUGACUGGAUGCACAAUGACUUCCAAUUAGCUACAUUGAAGGGUUAAUUAGCAAAGCAUUAUUUCAUCAUUGAGGUUAUUAAGGACAUUUACCAGAUAAUGAGGCGCAAUUACAACACUCAUAUUAGAUAUUAUUUAUCAGCUAUUAUGUAAUUAUGAGGGUAGUGGUGCAUUAGCACAUGCCAGCAUGCACAGAACGAGAUGCUCCUGCAAAGUGCAACAGCCAAGGAGCAUAAUCAUGUAGUGCUCGCUGGGGGCUGGGGGGGUAAAAUCUCCCUGUCUCUUACUGCAAGAAAUCCGUCUUAUCCAAACACAAGAUGAUGCAAUCUAACGUCACAAAACCUCACACUAAAGUUUCAAUUGAUGUAAUAAAAUACUACUAAAAAACUACAAAAUCCAGUAACGUUGUAGCUGUGGCAUGUGCACAUCUCAAAUAAAAAAGGCUAUUUACAAGUAUUUGGUAACGGGAUUCUUGAAACAACAAAUCAUGUACAUUAUCCUUUUUUCUUUGACUCUGGGUUCACAAACCUGUUUGAAAAGCAUUGAACCACAUCUCACUGUUUCCAUUGCAGCAUGGAGCUGGAGCACAACAAGCUAAUCAGUUGACCCCUGUGCUCUUCUACUUUGUUGUUUCAUUUACAUUGAUGGAGUAAAUUUGACUGAAAUUGUUUAAACAAUAAACCUCCAAAAAAGUCAUUUGAGUUAUUUCCCAUAUUGCACAGCGUCCUGUGAGUGGACUACACAAGAGUCUGAGUGAGCCUUCAUGAAUUGAGGCACAAGGAAAGAGUUUAAAGUGCCACUGCGGGCAGAAUACAAAGGGUCAGCUCAGCACGAAUAACCUGCAAAUCCCAGAGGAACCGAGCUGGAAAGGCAUUGCUUGGCCACCGCGUUAACGGGCAGGGACCUCGGCUCGGUUACCAGAGCAGGGUCCGAAUAAUAGAUUAUGGCUUCA